AACACACGCUCCUUCACAACCAGCCUCUGUCUCUCACACACACUCCUGUACUAUUCUGACAAUAUGCUUAAAACUGGAUAUACUCCAAGCAGCACACCUCUGUGGAGCAUUUGAACUAUUUGAGCACUUGAUUCAGGAGAAAGAAGAUCAAUCAGCACUAAGAUAUGAGGUGUGCUUGAAUAAGCCAACAAGGAGGGUUUUCUUCCUCUUGACAUUGAAAACUACCACUGAAGUUUUGGACGUCCACCAUGAGUCUUAAGGGGAGGAAACCAAGCAUGGUGUUCAGCUGGCACAAGUCCUUCACCAUCCUCGCCCCGUGGAGAAAAGGUAAAGGGGAUAUUGUCUUGGAUAAUGAUGUUGUACUGACAAAAAUGAAGCUCCUCAACAACGUCCCUGAGAAACUGCUUAAUGUUGAGGAUUCCAUUUCAACCAUCUCCAUUUCGAUGUCUGAGCAGGAUAACACAGAACCUCUCCAAGCUGAUGAGGUGAUCUCUGUCCACAGCGCUGCUCCUGAGACCACUGUCCCUGAAUCAAAAACACACUAUCUAUCUUCUAUUUUUGCAGAUUCUGAACUUCCAAGAUUGUAUAAAUUUGAAUCUGAGGACUCUGGGGUAGAAAUGACUAGUGGAGCAACUUCUCCAUCCACCCCAACUGGUUCAGAGCAAAGCUUUGUGGUCCACAGUAGGGAGUCUUCAUGUGACUCUGGCAACCUGAACUCUCCUGUACCUGCUGACAAUCCUCUUGAAGACAGUUCAGUCUUCUUAGAAACUGAACAAACGUCUUGUAAGUGUGCUAAACAAGACACUCUUACCAUCCUGGGAGACAGAACAGAGGAAGAGAAUGUUGAUGAUAAUUUGAUAGACAUCACAGCAAAUUCAGAGAGGGCCGAGGACAGAACCCUGAGGAAUACCAUGGAGAACUGUAAAGAUGCAAUUGAAAUCAUGGCAGCACAGGAGGAAAUAACAGACACUGCAAUGGCUGAGGACACAAUAUCAAGGAGCCAGUGUUCUAUAGAAGCUUAUGAUGGCAAAACAGGAUCUGAAUUUCAGCAACGGCCUUUGAGGAAAAGUACAACCAGCAACAGUCUGGAUGAGUACAUGGAAGAGUGCUGCAGGCUAAGUGAGGACUUCUUCAUGCAGCACUGUAGCUGUGGAGCAGCCAGCUUGGCCUUCCAAGAGCUCAAGAGACACUUUCGCAGUGACCACUACAGCCUGACGGCAUCAAGCGGCACACCGUCUGACCUCAGCACAAUCCCUGAGGUCACGCGCAUCCCCCUCAGGGCAGCCAUGGGAGAUGGUGACAUGGGUUGCCAACCUGCUCUUCCUGUUUGGAGGAGGGGUCUGAAUCGAAGGAGCUACACAGAGGGAGAGACCAGGUACCUGAGUGACAGCGCUGAGGUCCUCUCCGCUCCUCACAGACGGUUGAGUGAGAACUAUACAUGGGGAAGAGUGAAGGAACUGGUGAAGAAGACCAAACUGAGGAACCAGAGCCGGCUGGGACUGUCUUCAGGCUCCCUGAAGAGAUCAUGUCCACAGCUUUACCGCCCAGAUGUGAUGCCAGCAGAACGGCCCAGGACAAACAGAAACUCCAUGAUCGCUCUGGGACAUCAGAAACUGGACUAUCUGUGGCCACAGUAGUAUAACUCAGACAUUGAGCAGAUGGCCUGCGAUGGGGCAGCUUUUCCAAAAAGCAAAGCACAAAGUGGUAGUUUUUGCCAUUUGCAGAUGGUUUUCCAGACUGAGGAACAAGAUGGGAGAGAAAUGCACAAGAAAACAAUGAAUGGGACUGGAGUAAUGAUAGAAAAAAGUUGGUAUACGUAAUACUAAGAGAGAUGCUUAUAUGUUGAUUAAAGUGUUAAGUUGACCUGUUGAUGGAGCUCGUUUGUGUAACAUGACAUUUCUGUAAAUGUCUUUAAUUCAGAUGAAGCACUCAUUAGAUUUGUCAGCUAAUGAGGUACUAUUAAAGAUGAUAUAAACGUGGAAAUGAUUUACAGAAUGUGAACAGAAGAGAAUUACAGAAAAUCCUUAUGUAUAGUCUAAUGUAAAUUUCUGCCAGGACAAUUUACCAGAU
rnacentral:lncRNA from 1 species